rnacentral:rRNA from 1 species
GCGAGGGGGCAGCAAUGUCACCGUCGUACGGGUGCGUAACGCGUAUGCAACCUACCUAUCACUGGGGGAUAGCCCGGGGAAACCCGGAUUAAUACCGCAUAAUACAGGGGGCCCUCAUGGGUCUAUUUGUUAAAGAUUUAUCGGUGGUAGAUGGGCAUGCGUUCGAUUAGCUAGUUGGCAGGGUAACGGCCUACCAAGGCGACGAUCGAUAGGGGAGCUGAGAGGUUGAUCCCCCACACGGGCACUGAGAUACGGGCCCGACUCCUACGGGAGGCAGCAGUAGGGAAUAUUGGGCAAUGGAUGCAAGUCUGACCCAGCCAUGCCGCGUGCCGGAUGAAGGCCCUCAGGGUUGUAAACGGCUUUUAUUCGGGAAGAAGAGCAGGGAUGCGUCCUUGUGUGACGGUACCGAAUGAAUAAGCACCGGCUAACUCCGUGCCAGCAGCCGCGGUAAUACGGAGGGUGCGAGCGUUGUCCGGAUUUAUUGGGUUUAAAGGGUGCGUAGGUGGCUUUAUAAGUCAGUGGUGAAAUACAGCCGCUCAACGGUUGAGGUGCCAUUGAUACUGUAGAGCUUGAAACAAGUGGAGGCUGCCGGAAUGGAUGGUGUAGCGGUGAAAUGCAUAGAUAUCAUCCAGAACACCGAUUGCGAAGGCAGGUGGCUACGUUUGAUUUGACACUGAGGCACGAAAGCAUGGGGAGCAAACAGGAUUAGAUACCCUGGUAGUCCAU